CGCACUGUUUAUCAUAUUAGAGACAUUUGACUGUGUUGAAAAUGAUGUUUUAACGUUACUCUGAACGUUCGCUCGGCGGCUGCUGUGAGACUUGUUGCACACUGCAGUAAGCUAGAUCGAUAUUAGAAUAUCAUAAUAAAUGCUGGGUGGCUUGUGUUGAUAAAUGGCUUGCAAUUAAUUUUAAAACGUAUUGUAUUAUGGAGAAAAUGCCAUAACCAUUUGACAAAAUAGUUUUUCUCUAAGGCAUGGUAAAAGCAUGGUACUCUCAGAAAAUCAAGAAAACUAGAUUUAAACAAUAAAACUAAACAUGUUGAGAUACAACAAUAAUUCUUUUUCUGUCUAUAAAUGUAACCAAACCGUUGUUCCCUUGUCUAAUAAAACAUAUAUUAAAGAGUCUUUGGUGUUUCCAUGGUUUCUACAAAAUAAAACCGGAAACCGAGGGUAAUGCAGAUAUGACGCCAUUGACAGGCGACUCCCGGACACACGUCCGUAUCCUUGGUUAAAAUCGCGAUUUUAACACGAUUUACAAAUAGUUGGAAACAUUUAGGGAUAUUGUAAGUAGUGCUCAACUGAACAAAAUAUAUAACACUGGCCUAGUGGUUUUUGGAUAUUUUACUGCAAAAAUUUUACAUAUUGUGCCUUUAAGUAGUUUCUUAACCAGAUCCUAAUUGUCUCUUGAUUUUUUUUUUUUUUUUUUUUUUAAGCUAAAGAUUUUAAAUUAAUUCUUUAAAAUACAUUUUUUUAGUAGUGUUUUUGUUUUAUACUGGACAUUGACAAUAUACCCUGCAGUGUUAUUUUAGUAUUAGUAUUUAUAUAAUAUAGUAUUUAUUAUUUUGAUUAGCUUUCUUUUUUUUCUGUUUUCAUUUGAAUUUUAAUUUUAAUUUAAGUUUUAGUAAUUCUAUUAUGUGCUUUUGUCAUUUUUGUUAGUUUUUGUUUUAUUAUACAUUUCUAUUUGGCUUUAACUUAUUUUAUUUCAGUUUUAGUUAUUUUAGUAAUUUUAGUACUUCAACUUAAAUAUUUAUAAGGUUAAGUUGAAGUUUUUCCAUCUUAUUUCAUCUUUAUUUAAUUAAUCAUUAAAGUUUUAAGAGCCAAUUAAAAGUAUUUUUAGUAGCUUUAGGUAACAAUAACAACACUAAAUCUACAACAUAAAUUGGACAACUCUUUCAGCUUUUUUCUCUGCUUUUUAUUCUCUACAUUCUAGCUAGCUACCUAUGUAAAAUUAUAUCUUUAUUAUUACUAUGUAUAAAAAAGAAAAAAAAACACAAAAGCCUAGUUUUGAGGCUAAGCUAUUUCCAUGGGUCCAUCACUUAUCAUAUCAACUCCUAAAAUUUUCAAGAAUCCAUAUUUAGCUCCCCAUGCUAAAGAAUGUCUACUCAAUGUUACCUUCAGGCUCAGGGCUCUCUUCAUCUUGUUCAUCUUAAUCACCACUUCAUACAUGCCCCCAACCCCCACCCCCAUCUCCAUCCUCUCUUUGUCCUCAGACAGCCCCAGGAAUAUUGCUUCAACUGCCUCGUAUAAACCAAAUAAUCUCAAAGGAAAGGUGAAUAUUUAUGUGACAGAGCUCAUUAUCAUUGUUGAUGUCAGUAUAAGUCCUCUUUCUGUUUGCAGGCUGAAGAAAGGAGAGCGCAGGAGGAGGAGAGAAGGAUGCGGAGAGCUGCAGACCACCCAUCUGAGCGCCUAUCUUGUCUGCCGGAGAAAGGAUUGUAAUUUUCAGCCCGAAGCUGGAUAAUGAUCUGAGAGAUGUGCUUGGACUCAUGACACCGCCGAGAAUUUAGCAACAAAAGCGACAAUGAUCAGAGUCACACCCAGGAUUCACAGGGUGGGAGAAUACAGCUUCACUGAUCUUUGACUAGGGCAAAAUGCGGACUUUAUUAUCUUCUGAUAUUCUAUACUUAUAUGAUAAAGUAAUGUGAGUUUAAAGCAAAGUAAGUAAGGUGUGGUACUGCAUUUUUUAGAUUAAACACUUAUCUCCGAUAUCAUAUUCCAGUUGUCAUAUUUCUAACCAAGACUAAGAAUCUAUCAGAAAUAUUAAUGACAAUGUUUUAAUAUUUUGCACUACACUUACUAUUGAACUUACUAUUGCGGUCCUCAGUCCAGCUCUGAUCUAUUUGUGGUCUGCAAUACACACGCUACAACGAUUUGACUCAUAGUCCUUCUGUCUUUUCUUGUCUCAAUGCAUCCUUUUCAGUCUUUUUCUUGUACUCCACCUUGUAAUUGUCACUACCUCCAGGCGAGGGUUUGAACAAAGCAUUCCUUGGAAAGAUAUAUAGACUUGGCUGCUUUCUCACGCUCUCUUUUUUUUUUUUUUUUUUUUCCAUAUAACUCUUUUCACUCAGACACACUUAUUAUUUGCCAUCAUAUGUUGACUCCAACUGCGUCCAGUGUUUCUUAAAUGACAGCCAGUGCUUGAAUGAGUAAAGGCCUCUUCACUGCAGACAUGUGCUUCAGUGUAUACCUGAUAAAAGGUUGUCAUUUAGGGAGAAAGUUUUUUGUUUAAGCAAAUUGCAUCUGACGACAUUCUCGACAUAUAGCAAUGGGUUGUGCCAUUUGCACACAGUUGAUUGAUAUGUGGAGUGUUUCUAGCUCACAAAGAGGCCAGACGUCAAUGGACAUGUCCCAUUUGCCAGAGAAUUCUCAGCAGGACUACCACAGACUCUCAGGCCUCCACUAUACUUCCUCUUUCUCUGAUGCGGAGGACUGCUGCGAUGACAUCACAAGCACAACCUCUUCCUCGUCCUCGGACUAUCUCGGAAUAGACUGUUGACACUUGUGGUUUUAGAGUUUUGCAGGUUACUGAUACCUUGUGCCAAAUAUUGCCAUUCCCUUUGGCUCCAAAUUCAGUCACUCACCCAAUGACAAUGAAAUAUGCUUAGUCUGCCCAAAUUAAACCUUGUGUCUUGACUAUGUGGAAAGGGGUUGUGCUCUCAUCAUGUCCACAAUUUCGUUCCAAUUUGAGCAACAAAGCCAUCACUGUCAGGGAAAAUCGAUGUGUCUAUAAUAGAAUCACAUUUUCUUUUAUCAUUAUGGAUGGAAAUCCAGUUUGGAAAUAUGAAUGUACAUUCUAAAAAUAAAGCAUUCAAUUAUGUAAAGAUUUUAA